rnacentral:rRNA from 1 species
AACGAACGCUGGCGACAGGCCUAACACAUGCAAGUCGAGCGCGCCCUUCGGGGUGAGCGGCGGACGGGUGAGUAACGCGUGGGAACGUGCCCUUUUCUACGGAAUAGCCUCGGGAAACUGAGAGUAAUACCGUAUACGCCCUUUGGGGGAAAGAUUUAUCGGAAAAGGAUCGGCCCGCGUUGGAUUAGGUAGUUGGUGGGGUAAUGGCCUACCAAGCCGACGAUCCAUAGCUGGUUUGAGAGGAUGAUCAGCCACACUGGGACUGAGACACGGCCCAGACUCCUACGGGAGGCAGCAGUGGGGAAUCUUAGACAAUGGGGGCAACCCUGAUCUAGCCAUGCCGCGUGAGUGAUGAAGGCCUUAGGGUUGUAAAGCUCUUUCAGCUGGGAAGAUAAUGACGGUACCAGCAGAAGAAGCCCCGGCUAACUCCGUG